GAUGAACGCUAGCGGGAGGCCUAACACAUGCAAGCCGAGCGGUAGAGUUUCUUCGGAAACUUGAGAGCGGCGCACGGGUGCGUAACACGUGUGCAACCUACCUUUAUCUGGGGGAUAGCCUUUCGAAAGGAAGAUUAAUACCCCAUAAUAUAAUGAUUGGCAUCAAUUAUUAUUGAAAACUCCGGUGGAUAGAGAUGGGCACGCGCAAGAUUAGAUAGUUGGUGAGGUAACGGCUCACCAAGUCAAUGAUCUUUAGGGGUCCUGAGAGGGAGAUCCCCCACACUGGUACUGAGACACGGACCAGACUCCGACGGGAGGCAGCAGUGAGGAAUAUUGGACAAUGGGUGAGAGCCUGAUCCAGCCAUCCCGCGUGAAGGAUGACGGUCCUAUGGAUUGUAAACUUCUUUUGUACAGGGAUAAACCUACCCUCGUGAGGGUAGCUGAAGGUACUGUACGAAUAAGCACCGGCUAACUCCGUG
rnacentral:rRNA from 1 species